CUUCACUCUCCACACAACUGUUCGCUCCUCCCCAUCCUGAACUCUUUCCCUCCACCGGCACGCGCUUGCCGCCGCCGCCGCCCCACCUCCACCUCCGAUUCUCCCUCACCCCAUCCCGCCCUCUCCUCUCCCUACACCCGCCGCUUCUCCUCCGUGACGUGUGGCCCAGCCACCGCUCGCCACCUCUCCCUCCGCUGCGGCCGCCGGGGCCACGCUCCCGUGCGCACCGCGCAAUGCAAGUCCGCCGGGCCGGAGGGGUUCAAGGAGGAGCUGUGCAGGCCACUGGAGCUUCUCCUCGGGGAUCUCUGGUGGUGGGCGAAGGACCACCCGGAUCUCCCCGCGCUGGUGGAGGUGGUAAUGGACCUCGGCCACACCCGCUCGCCCUCUUCCCUUUAGGCGACUUCCUCCUCUCCCACCACCUCCCUCAUAAUCCCUUGGCACCGACACGAUCGCAUAUUGGGUCGUUGUUCUCUGCAAACAUGAGCAGUUCUCGGUGCACCCAAGCGGCGCUGCCGACCGCAGCCUUCAACGCCUCCAGUGGACGUUGCCGCGCUCAGCUCAGGGGAGAGCGGUCGCAUCCCACCGCCACAUCGGCUCCGGGCGAAAGCCACGCCGCCGGAUCCCCCCACGCACCACCUCCUGCAGGUCUUCGUCCGUUAGGGGCCUUCAUGCUUCUGCUGGUCCACUUGUUGCACGGACGCAUCGGCUCAGGUUAGCACCUGCGUUGUGUCAGGCUUGAAUAAGGGUCUGCAAGAUCCUCGGGGUGGAGGUUUUCGUUUCGAAUUGCAAAGCGCGGUCCGAUAUGGGUUGCAUAUGUUCAGUGGAAGGGAUAUGUGUGCCAAUUUGCAUAUUUUUAAAUUUCUUUUAUCUUCAACUUUGGAACAUACAUGGUCACUCGAAUAGAUAUUAAGGAAGAUAUAGCAGAGAAGGAGCUGGCAUCUUCGUGCCCUUCCAACUGGAGGAAAUGGAAGCGAGACUGUUGUAUUUUCCCCUUGUAAACCAGCGAUAUGGGAGGACACCAUUAUUACAAAUUUGAAGUCUGACUGCGUGUUAUUGGCAAGAUACCUACGUGGAUGAUAUCGACAAGCUCGAUGGCCACAAUGAACCAGAUGUUGUCAACUACAUGGAGGACAUCUAUAAGUACUACAAGGCAGCACUGGACAUUCAAGAGUGAGUUGUUUUCUGUGGCCAGAAAAAGAAACAAUUCCAGUGAGAUACUUGUAUAAUUCAUUUGAUGGCUCUUCUUUUCCUCAGGCUAUUCUUUUCCCCAGGUUCUUAUUGAUCUCUUCUUUGCAUGAGCUUCUGAACACACAUCUAAUGCUUCUAAGAAGCAAAUUCCAUACUCUAGCAGUGACUUGCUUUCUGGUGUUUUGGUGGGAGAAAAUUUUCAGAAGCCAAGUUGUGCUGGACAUAGAUAUACUACGCCAAGGAGCUAAAAAAGGCUCUGGUUUUAUGAGUGCUCAGGCUCUGGUCUGACUUGUACAGCAAAGUUCAAGACUGGUCGCAUGAGCUGAGCCAGAGCAAGAAACAAAGCAGUUCUUCUGUGGACUGAGGGAGCAUUUGACAUGUAUCAUGUAUGUCAACACACACGUUUAGAUGGAAUGUACUUAUGUUCUAGGGCAACAUUAUUUGUGCCUUAUUUGAUAUCAAAGAAAUCAUUGGCAUGUUUGUACGCUUCAUUUAUUAUGUUUAAGUCAUAUUUACUGAACUUUUC